AUAAUGGUCCGAACAAAGGGGUUG
rnacentral:siRNA from 1 species